AACGAACGCUGGCGGCACGCUUAACACAUGCAAGUCGAACGAGUGGCAACACGAGUGGCGGACGGGUGAGUAAUACAUGGUAAUCUGCCUAUUAGUUUGGAAUAACCAUUGGAAACGAUGGCUAAUACCGGAUAAUCCCUGAGGGGGAAAGUAUUUAUACGCUGAUAGAUGAGACCAUGGCUAAUUAGCUAGUUGGUAGGGUAAGAGCCUACCAAGGCGAUGAUUAGUAGCUGUUUUGAGAGGAAGAUCAGCCACACUGGGACUGAGACACGGCCCAGACUCCUACGGGAGGCAGCAGUGGGGAAUAUUGGACAAUGGGGGAAACCCUGAUCCAGCGAUGCCGCGUGAGUGAAGAAGGCCUUAGGGUUGUAAAGCUCUUUUACUGAUGAAGAUAAUGACGGUAAUCAGAGAAUAAGCUCCGGCAAACUUCG
rnacentral:rRNA from 1 species